rnacentral:rRNA from 1 species
GACGAACGCUGGCGGCGUGCCUAAUACAUGCAAGUAGAACGCUGAAGGAGGAGCUUGCUUCUCUGGAUGAGUUGCGAACGGGUGAGUAACGCGUAGGUAACCUGCCUGGUAGCGGGGGAUAACUAUUGGAAACGAUAGCUAAUACCGCAUAAGAGUAGAUGUUGCAUGACAUUUUCUUAAAAGGUGCAAUUGCAUCACUACCAGGUGGACCUGCGUUGUAUUAGCUAGUUGGUGGGGUAACGGCUCACCAAGGCGACGAUACAUAGCCGACCUGAGAGGGUGAUCGGCCACACUGGGACUGAGACACGGCCCAGACUCCUACGGGAGGCAGCAGUAGGGAAUCUUCGGCAAUGGACGGAAGUCUGACCGAGCAACGCCGCGUGAGUGAAGAAGGUUUUCGGAUCGUAAAGCUCUGUUGUAAGAGAAGAACGAGUGUGAGAGUGGAAAGUUCACACUGUGACGGUAUCUUACCAGAAAGGGACGGCUAACUACGUG